AGAGUUUGAUCCUGGCUCAGGACGAACGCUGGCGGCGUGCUUAACACAUGCAAGUCGAGCGGAAAGGCCCUUCGGGGUACUCGAGCGGCGAACGGGUGAGUAACACGUGAGGAACCUGCCCUGGACUUUGGGAUAACCCUCGGAAACGGGGGCUAAUACCGAAUACGACACGAUCUCGCAUGGGAUUGUGUGGAAAGUUUUUCGGUCUGGGAUGGUCUCGCGGCCUAUCAGCUUGUUGGUGGGGUAAUGGCCUACCAAGGCGACGACGGGUAGCCGGCCUGAGAGGGCGACCGGCCACACUGGGACUGAGACACGGCCCAGACUCCUACGGGAGGCAGCAGUGGGGAAUAUUGCACAAUGGGCGGAAGCCUGAUGCAGCGACGCCGCGUGAGGGAUGACGGCCUUCGGGUUGUAAACCUCUUUCAGCAGGGACGAAGCGCAAGUGACGGUACCUGCAGAAGAAGCGCCGGCCAACUACGUGCCAGCAGCCGCGGUAAGACGUAGGGCGCGAGCGUUGUCCGGAUUUAUUGGGCGUAAAGAGCUCGUAGGCGGCUUGUCGCGUCGACUGUGAAAACCCGCGGCUCAACCGCGGGCCUGCAGCCGAUACGGGCAGGCUAGAGUUCGGUAGGGGAGACUGGAAUUCCUGGUGUAGCGGUGAAAUGCGCAGAUAUCAGGAGGAACACCGAUGGCGAAGGCAGGUCUCUGGGCCGAUACUGACGCUGAGGAGCGAAAGCGUGGGGAGCGAACAGGAUUAGAUACCCUAGUAGUCC
rnacentral:rRNA from 1 species